ensembl:lncRNA
UGACAUUUGCGGUUGAUAUAUUAUCGAUUAUAUAUUUUAAAAACAACCUGAGGAUUGAUUAUAAAAAACGUUUGACAUGUUUCUGUGAACAUAAUGGAAACUAUUUGGAAUUUUGGAGGUAUUUUGGAUGUAAAAAUCAUCUUUAUGGAACAAACGGAACAUUUGUUGUGUAACUGGGAGUCUCGUGAGUGAAAACAUCUGACGAUCAUCAAAGAUUCCGUCUCUCGCGGUUGAAGUGUACCUAUGAUCAAAUUUACAGACCUCUACAUGCUUUCUCCCUGAGGACCAGCAUAAGGGGGAGGGGGUAACGGGACGGGCGGCACCUGAUGCGUCUGCGACCUCGACCUCGCCGUCUGGAUUUUCCCUCCCCCCCGGUCUGCCAGGGAGGGGUAUAAUUUGGGUUUAGGU